rnacentral:rRNA from 1 species
GACGAACCGGACAAACGUUAUUCGGAAUCAUUGGGCUUAAAGGGUGCGUAGGCGGUGCUGUAAGUCGGGUGUGAAAUGCCUCAGCUCAACUGAGGAAUUGCGCCCGAUACUGCGGUGCUUGAGGGAGACAGAGGUAAGCGGAACUGAUGGUGGAGCGGUGAAAUGCGUUGAUAUCAUCAGGAACACCAGUGGCGAAAGCGGCUUACUGGGUCUCUUCUGACGCUGCGGCAAGAAAGCUAGGGUAGCAAACGGG